GAUGAACGCUGGCGGCGUGCCUAAUACAUGCAAGUCGAGCGAACAGACGAGGAGCUUGCUCCUCUGACGUUAGCGGCGGACGGGUGAGUAACACGUGGAUAACCUACCUAUAAGACUGGGAUAACUUCGGGAAACCGGAGCUAAUACCGGAUAAUAUAUUGAACCGCAUGGUUCAAUAGUGAAAGACGGUUUUGCUGUCACUUAUAGAUGGAUCCGCGCCGCAUUAGCUAGUUGGUAAGGUAACGGCUUACCAAGGCAACGAUGCGUAGCCGACCUGAGAGGGUGAUCGGCCACACUGGAACUGAGACACGGUCCAGACUCCUACGGGCGGCAGCAGUAGGGAAUCUUCCGCAAAGGGCGAAAGCCUGACGGAGCAACGCCGCGUGAGUGAUGAAGGUCUUCGGAUCGUAAAACUCUGUUAUUAGGGAAGAACAAAUGUGUAAGUAACUAUGCACGUCUUGACGGUACCUAAUCAGAAAGCCACGGCUAACUACGUG
rnacentral:rRNA from 1 species